CUGGCAUUACCACUGGGCUCUUUCUGUUUGCUGGGCACAGGUAGGCACCCAAAUCAAGACUCAGAUUUCCUCAUCUCAGAAGUUGUCCACUUCUUCUCCGACCUCCACGGUAACUCGGAACCACACCGUGGAGUUAUCCCUGUGUCCUCUUUCUCGGAAGUUCCACAUCCAACCCCUCAGCAGGUCUCAGCGGCACUCUCACCACCUCCUCUGCUCUGUUCCUGUUUCUCUUGGAUGGUCGAAUGUUUCCUAAGGAGUGUCUGCUGCUUCACGCUUGCCCCCUGGAGUGGCAUCUAAAAGGAUACCCUACAACUAACAGGCAUGAUGCCAUCAAGACAUCUUGAGCCUGGCUACCUCCCGUGGCCUGUAUUUUGUCCACAGGAAACUCGCGCAGUCUCACUACAGCAAAUUGAGGUGGUAUGGGGUGCCUGCUGCUGCCUCUCUCUUCACCUUUCCACAGAGGGCUGCCCCAGCCUGACUCCCACUUCCAGAGUUUCUCCAGCCAGGAGAAUCCUGAAAUCUCUGUAAAUAAGCAAUCCAGGAGCCAGAGAAUCAUGGGAUCUCAUAUAAACAAAUCAUCAAGGAAAAACACAGCCAGAGUCUCCAUUUGGUAAACCUCCGUGACUGGGGAUCCCCGGCCACCCAGAAAGCAGUAUUGCCUGCCAUGCAUGUCAUCACUGAUUUUUACUGCUGCAGCAGACUCCGUCAGACCUGCCUGCUGCUUCAGCGAAUUGUUCAGUGCACACCACCAGCUACCUGCUGUAAGCAUUCACACUCCUCUACCUGCCUGGCAGCAUUUCUCAGCUGAACACAGGCCAGGCCAGAAGUGCCAGGGAUUUAAUGCCCUUAGAAGUAGCUCUCUACCAAUGACAAAUGGAGCUGGUGGAUACAUUCUCAGCUUCCUCCCCUCUCAGGUGGAACAGCCCUGAGAUGUGCUCUAUGCAAUCUCCCACAAGUCCCCAGCAGGCUCAAGCUCCCAUUGUCCAACCCUGGUAACCUGCUCAUUGACACCCCUGUCUUGCCUUCCCUUCCUGGCCUCACUUUCUCACUCUCUUACUGUUGCCUCCUGAGAUCGCAUCCAAAAUAAAUGACCUGCACCCA
rnacentral:lncRNA from 1 species